AAGCUCGUAGUUGAAUUUCGGGGUUAGUAGGUUAGUCAUGCCUCUGGUAUGUACUGGUCUCACUGAUUCCUCCUUCCUGAUGAACCGUAAUGCCAUUAAUUUGGUGUUGCGGGGAAUUUGGACUGUUACUUUGAAAAAAUUAGAGUGUUUAAAGCAAGCUAACGCUUGAAUACAUUAGCAUGGAAUAAUGAAAUAGGACGUUCGAUCCUAUUUUGUUGGUUUCUAGGAUUGACGUAAUGAUUAAUAGGGAUAGUUGGG
rnacentral:rRNA from 1 species